UACGAAGGGGGCUAGCGUUGUUCGGAAUUACUGGGCGUAAAGCGUACGUAGGCGGUUUGUCGCGUCUGCUGUGAAAUCCCGAGGCUCAACCCCGGGCCUGCAGUCGAUACGGGCAGGCUAGAGUUCGGUAGGGGAGACUGGAAUUCCUGGUGUAGCGGUGAAAUGCGCAGAUAUCAGGAAGAACACCCGUGGCGAAAGCGGCUCUCUGGAACGGUACUGACGCUGAGACGCGAAAGCGUGGGGAGCGAACAGG
rnacentral:rRNA from 1 species